GACCCAGUGAACCAGGCCAGCAGCACAACUCAGAGCAUCAGCAGUAACCUGACUCUUCCCUCAAGCCAAUGGAAAACCCUGAACACAAUAACAUGCAGAGCUGAACAUCGCUGCUUCAACUCCACAGAGAAGACGAGUAAUGUUAAAGGACCUGCAGUGAGCAGCACUGCCACAGUGCUGAUCAGGAGGUCUCUCCCAGAGUUACUGAAGGGAAACAGUGCUGUGCUGGAGUGUGCCAUCACACAACUCUCCUCCAGUGACCUAUACGUCACCUUUCAGGCAAAUGGGGUUGAUUUCCCUGAGAAACACUUGGUGUCUAGCUCCAACGUCAAGAUUUUUGGUGAACUGUCCAUGGAACUCCUUCUAGUCCCCAGUGAGGAGCUGUCUGGCUCAGGGACCCAGAAACUCAUGUGUUCUGGGUGGGGCUUCAACCCUAAGAUCAAGUGGCUCUCUGGGUCUGAACAGAGGUCUGCAACGGACAAUGAGAUAAGGAUGGGGGAAGACGGACAUGUGGCACUAACCAGUCAUAUCACAGUAACACAGCAGGAGUGGAAUGAGGGAAAGGACUUCAUCUGUGAGGUAGAUGACAAAGAUCUUCAGAAAACUGUCAGGAAGAGCACCAGUUUAUGCACAGGUAGUUUGUAAACUUACAGAAGCGCCUUACCUGUUUAAAGUUUUGCUUCAAAAGUCAUAAAUCAAAACCUAAUUACCUUGGAGUAUAAAACACUAUUUUAC